rnacentral:rRNA from 1 species
UACGUAGGGUGCAAGCGUUGUCCGGAAUUAUUGGGCGUAAAGAGCUCGUAGGCGGUCUGUCGCGUCUGCUGUGAAAACCUGGGGCUUAACCCCGGGCCUGCAGUGGGUACGGGCAGACUAGAGUGCGGUAGGGGAGACUGGAAUUCCAGGUGUAGCGGUGAAAUGCGUAGAUAUCUGGAGGAACACCGGUGGCGAAGGCGGCAUCCUGGACCAAUACUGACACUGAGGAGCGAAAGCCAGGGGAGCAAACGGG